AAAACGAUGAGACUGCCCAUGCAGGAAGACUCGCGAAUAUUGUGGGAACGGUGGUAGUAGAUAGCAUACGGCUCGCGGAGCCAACAGACACAAUGUGGUGGGAAAAU
ensembl:ncRNA C06A6.10 ncRNA